rnacentral:rRNA from 1 species
UACAGAGGGGGCAAGCGUUAUUCGGAAUUAUUGGGCGUAAAGGGCGCGUAGGCGGCCUGGCAAGUGGAAGGUGAAAUCCCUCGGCUUAACCGAGGAACUGCCCUCCAAACUGCUUGGCUUGAGUCCGGGAGGGGUGAGUGGAAUUCCCAGUGUAGCGGUGAAAUGCGCAGAUAUCAGGAGGAACACCAAUGGCGAAGGCAGCUCGCUGGGACGGUACUGACACUGAGACGCGAAAGCGUGGGGAGCAAACAGG